UCAGAUGAUGACCAAAAAUUCUGCGGUAAACACAUUCGCUCAUAGCCGAAUGAGUGGAAAACAAAAAUCACAGAUUUGAUUACGUGAACCUGCCGGGCCUGCUGUGUUGACUGCAACACUUCACAGCUCAUUCCUUAUUUUCCCUUUGACUGUUGCUAUGUUGACAAAAUAUUAUUCCUACGAGUUAUGUUUCCGUCCUUGAGAAACACAGCGAGAGAGAGAGAGAGAGAGAGAGAGAGAGAGAGGGAGAAAGAGAGGAGGGGAAAAAGAGCGAACGGCAAACUCCGAAGCAUCCAGAAGUCGAACGGGGGGGAAGAGGAAGCCAGAUCUAUAAUCACUUCCAUAUCUGAGCGAGCGAGAGUUCCCGUGUCGACACGAGCGCUUUCUCAGCGCCAGUCGCAAAAACGCGGUGACAUCAUCCUCGCACAACAAACUGUGUAUUCAAGCAAACAGAGGACCGGUGCGGCCAAGACCAGCGCCAGCGUGGGCAGAAAAUAGACUUCUUCUCAUUAGCGAGAGAAAAGCCGGCUAAUGACGGAACGCCGCGCUGUUUACGGGUCAGCGAGCACACUCGAUUCUGAUUGGUCGCUCCGUUACGUCGCUGCAGACGACUUUCUCGGCGCGUCUCUUUCCUGAAACACUCAGAUAGAUCAAACAGAUUUUGGCCAGAAAGAAAGAACGAAAGGAAGAAAGGAAGAAAGAAAAGAAGGAGGAAUGGAACGAAGAAAGGAAACAGGACUUGAUCUGCUUUUCUGGGUCAUUUUUUCAUGUUUACACACAUUUUUGUGUUAAUGGACUUUGGAUGCCUUGGAGGGGUCUUGUAUAUAGUUCUAGUCUUCAAAUCAACACACACACACACACACACACACACACACACACACACACACGUCACUGGGCCUCUUCAUGGCUCAACACACUGUUUGUUAUAUCAGCCCUUUUAAGUUAAACCAGCCGAAAUCUCGGCGUUUAGUUUGAAAUUACAGAGCUGUUACAAAUAACACUUUUUUUUAACGGCGGCUCCCAAAGCACAAUUUGUUUUUUUGGACGCGUUUCAGAUGGUAAUGUAACCCUGAGCGAUGUUUGGCCCCGGCUUUAUUGCAGCGGGUAUUAGGACCUGCCCUGCACAAAUAUUACAUUUCCAUUAUUUCCUCCCCGAACGCUGGCGCAAAUUGCAGGCGCUGAAAGCUUAUUAUAUUCCUGCGGCCCCUGCAGCUACAGGGACGCUUUCAUUUACAAUUACUUACAGCCAAUUAGAGCAGGGAUACGUCUGCAGGACCACCGCACGCUCGCUCGCACAAAACCCGAACCAUAUGCGCAGAAUAUUGCACCGAGAUCAGAAAACCAGCAGGGAGAACCGUCUCCAGUCCCUCCGGAGGUGCGUUCUCGCUCCGUAACGCAGCUGGACUCACACCCCUGACAGAGGUGCUAGGAAAUGCAAUGCACCCUGGGUAAAAAAAAAAAAAAAAAAAAAAAAGCGCGGCUUUAGACGUCAUGGAAGAAAGCCGAGAGCCGGUCUUUCUUCGCCUCGAGGAAAAUGGUAUGUGAUAUUUUAAUAUGUGAGGUGUUAACGUGGGAAAGUUGCGCUUUGUGACUUGAAAGGACACGCCCCUUUUCACGAGGACGAUAAACGAAGUUUUGUGAAACUCUUGGACUGUGAUUGGUCAGAAGGUGUUGAUUUAUUUCCUAAAACAGCAGCUCUGGCAGUUUUAUACCGUAUGAAUGCACUAUUAAACUGUGGUUUCUAUAGUAACAGCUCAUUCACAGGGACGCGUACGUGUGUAAUCGUUGAUGCGGUGAUGUUUUCUGUCACGUGCACGGAAGGAGUCUCCAGUGUCGGCGCUUUGUAACAGUCAGAGGUAACGCUGUAUCUUUUCGGCGGCGUCUUCAGGACAGAGUUGUUGUUGUUGUUGUUGUUGUUGGAAGUUCAACAACAUAAAAUGUAACAAUAAACGGAAAAAAAAUCAUUUAAUGUCACGACAAACAAAAAGUCAUUUUUCUUGUUUUGACGAUAUUCGGCGAAACGUGACGCAGUCUGUGACGAUGCGCUUCUCUUUGUUGGUGAAUUUAUAUCUGGACGUUUCUCAAUAAUUCCCAAUCUUUUAUGUUUCUCGCUUUAUAAGUUUAUAAUGUAGUUUACGGCACUGAGUUUUAUUUAAUAAACCAUCCGUGAGGAACAGACGCAGGUUCAGAUGGCCGGUUGUUAUGUAUUUAUUGUUUACAGAUCUUAAUCCUGCGUGUGGGUGAAUUCUGCCGGUUUAAGGCUCGGCGUUUACCCGCGACGCGCUCCUCGCCGUGUCAGGAUGUAGAAUUGUGUUUUGUUGACCUCUGUGCCUGGACAAUUCAUCAAAAUAAAAGUUCCUGUCCGAGCAAAUUAACCACAAACGUGUGUCCUGAAGUCUGAUCUACACGUCUACGCCUCAUGUAGUGUUCGAAAAAUAUCCGUAAAAAAAAAUCAUUCCGAUGCUACGCUACUCGCUUCCUUCGCUCUGUUAACAGGAAA